UAGGGUUGAGUCAUGUAGUCUUUCUCUCACACUCUCAUUCUAGCCUCUCUCAAACGAACAAAACGGCGACGACGGUCUACCCUCGCCGUGAACCACCGUCCCUCUCCUCUCAAACACUAAAACUCAAACGCAAAACCUAUUCUACUUCUAACCCUCAAUACGCCUAUGGAUUCAGAUUCUCAAAGUUUGUUUCCAUGAAGCGGGAUCGAAGAGGAAAAUUGUGAAACCCUAAGUUUUGGAAUCAUAGAUUAAGGGGAUAACAUCUAAGGAUUCACGCAAUUGGGAGAGGGAUUUGAUUGACAGCAACGAGUAUAACAAGAUAUCGCUCAAGUUUCAAAGUGGAAGAUGAAGGAGAUCGAACUUAAUCAGAAGAUACGCGUGUGAUGGCAAGAAUACCAGAGGUGAGGCUCCCGCUAACUUGGCGAAAUAAACGCGAUCUUCAGAGAGAAUUGAAGAAGAUGAUGAUUAGAGGGAGAUUGAGAGAUGAAGAGAAUCCAGAGGAAAUCAGGAGAUGGAAGAGGUGAAGAUUUGAUGGAGAUUUCAGAGCUUGAAGGUUGAAUAGAGAUUGAAGAUCUUGUGGUGAGAUUGAAGAAGAAUGGUGGAGAAUCAAGGUUCUUGGAGAGAGUGGAGAGAUGAGUGGAGGUUUUUGUGAAUGAAGAUUAUGAGUUUGAGAUGAAGCAGAGAAAAAAAAUGGUGGAGAGAGCUUUGAAUUGGGUGGAGGUUUGUUUAAAUAGAGAUUGAUGGAGAAGAAGUUUUCUGAAUUCAGUUAUGGGGUGGUUACAAAUUCUGUUAUGGGGGUUACAGGUUUGCAAGCUCUGUGAUGGCACAAUGUAGGUUGGAAAAAGUUAUGAACAAAGGGCAUGUUUGGACUGGAUUCUUGCAUUCUGAACCGACUAGCUUUUUGGACUAUGAAGCGGGUUCAGUACUAAAUUUGAACAAAUCCAUGGCAUGGGAAGCUACUUGGAGAGAAGGCACACGGUUGAAAGAUCAAGACAAUGGACUUUAGGAAAUUCUAGUUGACUUUGUAUAGAUUUUCUUGUAUGAAUUUUCUGAUGUAUGUAAUGAUAAUUGGGUUUUAAAGUGGGAGGAAGAAAGAUUGUUAGUAAGAAGUUUGUGACUUUGGUUACAAUGGCUUUUUUUUUGUAAUUCAAUUUUUGUGAUAAAUUGCAUGGACUAGACUUUUGACUUGUGAGUUUAAAUGAUGCUUGAACAAAGGUUUUGUAA